rnacentral:rRNA from 1 species
CUGCCCUGUACACACGGAUAACAUACCGAAAGGUAUGCUAAUACGGGAUAAUAUAUUUGAGAGGCAUCUCUUGAAUAUCAAAGGUGAGCCAGUACAGGAUGGACCCGCGUCUGAUUAGCUAGUUGGUAAGGUAACGGCUUACCAAGGCGACGAUCAGUAGCCGACCUGAGAGGGUGAUCGGCCACAUUGGAACUGAGAUACGGUCCAAACUCCUACGGGAGGCAGCAGUGGGGAAUAUUGCACAAUGGGCGAAAGCCUGAUGCAGCAACGCCGCGUGAGUGAUGAAGGCCUUCGGGUCGUAAAACUCUGUCCUCAAGGAAGAUAAUGACGGUACUUGAGGAGGAAGCCCCGGCUAACUACGUGCCAGCAGCCGCGGUAAUACGUAGGGGGCUAGCGUUAUCCGGAUUUACUGGGCGUAAAGGGUGCGUAGGCGGUCUUUCAAGUCAGGAGUGAAAGGCUACGGCUCAACCGUAGUAAGCUCUUGAAACUGGGAGACUUGAGUGCAGGAGAGGAGAGUGGAAUUCCUAGUGUAGCGGUGAAAUGCGUAGAUAUUAGGAGGAACACCAGUUGCGAAGGCGGCUCUCUGGACUGUAACUGACGCUGAGGCACGAAAGCGUGGGGAGCAAACAGGAUUAGAUACCCUGGUAGUCCACGCCGUAAAC